rnacentral:tRNA from 1 species
UCAGAGAGUAGUUUAAAUAAAUAUUAAUUUUGGGAAUUAAAGUUGAAGAAUAAGUCUUUCUCUCUGAA